UCAUGGCCAUGACACGCUUGCAGCCAUGACACACUCACAGCUAUGACACGCUCGCAGCCAUGACACACUCACGGCCAUGACAUGCUCACAGCCGUGACCUGCUCACAGCUGUGACACACUCGCAGCGAUAACGUGCUUGCAGCCGUGACACGCUCAUGGCCGUGACACGCUUGCAGCCGUGACAUACUCACAGCCAUGACACGCUUGCAGCCCUGCCAGCCUCAUAGCCAUGACAUGCUCACAGCCGUGACACACUCGCAGCCGUGCCACCCUCACAGCCCUGCCGCGCUCACACGGCGCUUAGCCCGGGAAGGAAGGAGAAUUCAUGACCGCAGGGCGGCGGGAGAAGCGCGAACGCCUUCCCCCAGGGAAGCGACCGCGGCCCCGGGUCUCGUCCCGCGGGGCCCCGGGUGGUUCUGGGCACAUCCCGGGGCGGGAGCGGUGCCGCGGUAGGUGGCACUGCCCGUCCGUGUUUGUGACCACAACGCCCGGAGCCAUCCCGCCUGCAGCCCGAGGGUCCCUGGCCCCCGGGGCAGAAGCCCUAGGCCUGGCCUUGCUGCACAGCCACGUGCCGUGCUUCCCCGGGGGAGCGGUUUUGGGGUGGGGGGGGACUGUAGAUUUUCACCAUCGUGGGCACUUGGUGUUUCUCGGUUGCUCCUGUCCCACCCCUAUUGCCCCGUCCCAGAUCUGUCUGUACCCGGCUUAGGCACAGGCAUGGGACAUGACAGAUUGCAGCACUGGGGACGCAGGGGGCUGGCGGUUGGGAAGAGAAACCUGCUCGCCUUAAGGACGUUACUCCAGGAUCCCAGGAGAGAAGCCAAGGACCAAAAGGCCCCAGUUGAUGGGGAAAUACACUCGAACAGGGACGAGCCAAGCGUUACUGCCCUGCUGCACAGGGACGGCUGCCAAUACGGAGAUACGCAUCACCCAGAAAGGAGCGGGAGGGCUGCAGGGUCAGGGCACGGUGUCCUCUCCUUCCGUGUCACAACCAGGCGAAGCCAAGGACUGGUACCUCACUCGAGAGACAGUCUUACCGGCGGUUUACCUCGCUUUACCUUCCUUUCAUUUCCUUAUCAGACUGAGCACCUUGAGUAAGAAAAGUACAUGCUGUGCCACCAGCACCAUCGCCUUGGCUUUCUUCUUUGCCCUGGGCUGUCUGGUAAUGGCUAAUUGCUCUGCUUCUUACCUUUAUCGUUCCAUUUAUUCUUUAUUAGUUGUUCCCCACAAGUCCCUAACAGGCCUCUGAGGCAGGCAUAGUGAAACAAAUAGCAGGGACAGCCUCAAGCAGUACCAGCUAUUAAUAUUGUGCAAGGAUGAUUUUAGAGAGCUCUUUGCCCUCCCAGCCCAGCCAUCGGUCUGGGGAGGGCAGCUGCUUGAUAUCUUGUAAGUGCUCUGGGAGGCAGCGUAGAAAAGAAGAGCACGUGGCCACCUUCGCCCCGGCAGAGACUCUGUGCGAGGGUCAUCGUCACUGUCGGAAGAAACGCACGCAUGGUUUUGGUGUGAAAGCUCACCGAGCGCGUGGGUAAGCGCUGCCUGGGAGUCACACCCUCCCGUGCGCAGCCGGGUGCCGUGUAACGCAGCCGCUGCCUGCGGGCUGGUUUGAACCCUGCCACCGCGCCGGCCAGCUCCGGGACCCAGCUUGGGAUGGAGAGUGGGGAGACCCCCAGCACCCACCCUGCGGCAGCACCUCCCGGCACGUCGCUCCGUCCUGGAAAGCCUUUUGCGGGCCCGCAGCGUCAGUGGGUUCGACGUGGUGGCCGUGUCGGAGCCGGGGUCUCGGCCAACACCCGCUGCCGCUCUGUCACUCUGCAGGGGUUUGCAGCAUCUGGGGAUGGACUCAGGCGGAGCUCCACUGGGUUUGAAAUUUCAAAGCCAGGAACGUCAGCGCUGUCUUCCCAACUGCUCUGCUUGGCAUAAAUUUCUACCAAACCCCCACUCGGGGACCUUUUUUGGGUUUGUUCCUUUUGUCACCAUUUUAUUUUGUGAUUUAUUAUUUUUAACACUUCUUAAUAUGUAUUUAAGGCUCUUCCUUUCUUCUUGUCCUCUGUUUUUAAAAUGGUGCUGAAAUGUGCAUUUUGACAGCAGCCCCUGCUUUUGUAAGGCCCUAAUAAAUCUGUGACUGAAAGCA